ACAGGUGCUGCAUGGCUGUCGUCAGCUCGUGUCGUGAGAUGUUGGGUUAAGUCCCGUAACGAGCGCAACCCUCGUUCUGUGUUACCAGCAUUAAGUUGGGGACUCACAGGAGACUGCCGGGGUCAACUCGGAGGAAGGUGGGGAUGACGUCAAAUCAUCAUGCCCCUUAUGUCUUGGGCUGCACGCAUGCUACAAUGGCCGGUACAAAGUGCUGCGAGAUCGUAAGAUUGAGCGAAUCACAUAAAGCCGGUCUCAGUUCGGAUUGAGGUCUGCAACUCGACCUCAUGAAGUCGGAGUUGCUAGUAAUCGUAGAUCAGCAACGCUACGGUGAAUACGUUCCCGGGUCUUGUACACACCG
rnacentral:rRNA from 1 species